CGCUAUCAUCAUUAACUUUAUUUAUUACCGUCAUUCAUUUCUGAAUGUCUGUUUACCCCUAUUUCAACCGGAUGCCUCGCAUCCGUUUUUUUUA
rnacentral:other from 1 species